UACGGAGGAUGCAAGCGUUAUCCGAAAUGAUUGGGCGUAAAGCGUCCGCAGGUGGCUAUGUAAGUCUGCUGUUAAAGAGUGAGGCUCAACCUCAUAAGAGCAGUGGAAACUACACGGCUAGAGUGCGUUCGGGGCAGAGGGAAUUCCUGGUGUAGCGGUGAAAUGCGUAGAUAUCUGGAGGAAUACCGGUGGCGAAGGCGGCAUCCUGGACCGGCAUUGACGCUGAGGAGCGAAAGCCAGGGGAGCAAACGGG
rnacentral:rRNA from 1 species